UACGUAGGCAGCAAGCGUUGUUCGGAGUUACUGGGCGUAAAGGGUGCGUAGGCGGUCCUAUAAGUAUGGUGUGAAAUCUCCCGGCUUAACUGGGAGGGUGCGCUAUAGACUGUGGGACUAGAGUGUGGGAGAGGAAAGUGGAAUUCCUGGUGUAGCGGUGAAAUGCGUAGAUAUCAGGAGGAACACCGGUGGUGUAAACGGCUUUCUGGACCAUAACUGACGCUGAGGCACGAAAAGCGUGGGUAGCAAACGGGG
rnacentral:rRNA from 1 species